rnacentral:rRNA from 1 species
AUUGAACGCUGGCGGCAUGCUUUACACAUGCAAGUCGGACGAGUGGCGGACGGGUGAGUAAUAUAUCGGAAAGUACCGAGUAAUGGGGGAUAACUAAUCGAAAGAUUAGCUAAUACCGCAUAUUAUUCGAGCGGCCGAUAUCGGAUUAGCUUGUUGGUGGGGUAAAGGCCUACCAAGGCGACGAUCAGUAGCUGGUCUGAGAGGAUGACCCGCCAGACUGGGAAUGAGACACGGCCCAGACUCCUACGGGAGGCAGCAGUGGGGAAUUUUGGACAAUGGGCGCAAGCCUGAUCCAGCCAUGCCGCGUGUAUGAAGAAGGCCUUCGGGUUGUAAAGGACUUUUGUCAGGGAAGCGGUACCUGAAGAAUAAGCACCGGCUAACUACGUGCCAGCAGCCGCGGUAAUAC